rnacentral:rRNA from 1 species
UACGUAGGGUGCGAGCGUUAAUCGGAAUUACUGGGCGUAAAGCGUGCGCAGGCGGUUUUGUAAGCCAGAUGUGAAAUCCCCGGGCUCAACCUGGGAAUGGCAUUUGGGACUGCAAGGCUUGAGUGCGGCAGAGGAGACUGGAAUUCCUGGUGUAGCAGUGAAAUGCGUAGAUAUCAGGAGGAAUACCGAUGGCGAAGGCAGGUCUCUGGGCAGUAACUGACGCUGAGGAGCGAAAGCGUGGGGAGCAAACAGG